rnacentral:rRNA from 1 species
CCUCUUCCCAUCCCGAACAGAGAAGUUAAGCCCGUUAGCGCCGAUGGUACUGCCGACAGGUGGGAGAGUAGGUCGAUGCUGAAU